GGCUCAGGAUGAACGCUAGCGGCAGGCCUAACACAUGCAAGUCGAGGGGUAGAACACUUCGGUGUUUGAGACCGGCGCACGGGUGCGUAACGCGUAUGCAAUCUACCUUAUACAGAGGGAUAGCCCAGAGAAAUUUGGAUUAAUACCUCAUAGUAUGUGAGAAUCGCAUGGUUUUCACAUUAAAGUUCCAACGGUAAAAGAUGAGCAUGCGUCCCAUUAGCUAGAUGGUAAGGUAACGGCUUACCAUGGCGACGAUGGGUAGGGGUCCUGAGAGGGAGAUCCCCCACACUGGUACUGAGACACGGACCAGACUCCUACGGGAGGCAGCAGUGAGGAAUAUUGGACAAUGGGCGCAAGCCUGAUCCAGCCAUGCCGCGUGCAGGAUGACGGUCCUAUGGAUUGUAAACUGCUUUUGUACAGGAAGAAACACUCCCUCGUGAGGGAGCUUGACGGUACUGUAAGAAUAAGGAUCGGCUAACUCCGUG
rnacentral:rRNA from 1 species